UUAUUCCAGCCUGUGAGCUCCUGUUAACCGGAGCUUGUGUGUUUGUGUGUGUGUGUGUGAGAGCUCCACUCUGUGAGCUCCUGUUAACAGGAGUGUGUGUGUGUGUGUGUGUGUGUGUGUGUGUGUGUGUGUGUGUGUGAGCUCCGCUGUCUGGUGUCUGGUACUGUGUUGAGAAGGGCUGUGGGAAGGGCUCAGGCUACAUCAACCCCAGUGAGUGUGGAGGGAGGAGGGAGGAGUGGAGCCCUAGCUCUGAGAAUCUUAGCUACUCCUGCACUCUUCAUACCUCUCAUUUACUGACUCUCUUACCAUGUAGUUAAAUGAUCACAGCUUCAGUUUUUAAAAAAUAUUUCAGAAAGCUCUAAUUUCCCUUAUUACAAAAGGAGAACAUUCAUUUCAAAAAUAAGUUACAUUCAUUGAUAAAAAUGUAAAAAAAAUAGCAUGCAAAUAAGUGAGAAGGGAAAGCUGAAAGUUGGGGUGGUUUGCUUCUGGCCACACAGGGGCCCUGGGGCUGCGGCGGUGGAGGAACAAAGCUCCAGGGAGGCUGCUCUGUCUGUGUUUCCGUCCACAGCUCACUGUAGCAGGGCUUCUGGGCUGCGCUGUUCUUUGAAGGGCACCAGCACGGGUGGUCUGGGCAGCUGUCACUCAUCUCACCCUUUAAGGGCCGGCAGUGAUGGUCCCGAAGCCACGUGUGAGGAAGACGCAGAGCGUUGGCAGUUUCCCUUGGCCGGUCCUCUUCGGCUUGCUGCCCCAGCUGCCCUUCGGCCCGGGCUGCCACCUGAUCCCAACCCUCACCCCAGUUUAAGUAGGCAUGGGUGUCUCCCCAGGUGUCGGUAACCCACGUGCCCUUCGACUUCAAUUUUUUACAGGGUUGGUUUUGAGGAAGGCAGCUGGCAGUCUAGCAGGAACCAGAAACUCCUGGGGAUAAUUUCUAAGCUACAUAACCUAAGGAAUUCAUGGAAAAACAAGACCUAUAACUGUUAUUAGGCUUAAUAAAAAUAGUCUACAUUGGGCAAGUCCAUAAACAUGUUUUUAAUGUGGUAUUAGGUCUACAUUUUUCUGACAAAGAUUUAAAAAUGUGUAUUUAAAUUUCAGCUUGGGCACUUUCUACCUGUGAGGCCUCAGAAAAUUUAUUUAGCUUUCUGAGCCUCAGUUUCCUUAUCUGUAAAAUGGGAAUAAUAUUACUUACCUCAUGUUUCUGGAGAAUCAAAUGUGUCUGAACUGUUCAGACAUACUUAAAACACUUAUCACAGUGUCUGGCACAUAGACCACCUCCACGGUAAACCUCUUUCAUGUGGUUUAGAGCCCAUCCCUCUUCUUUCCCAGAGGAGGGUGCCUGGACACCCUGCUUUCCCUAGACACCCUGAUUAUCAGAGUAGGGUUGGCUGCUUUGUGCUUACUGGGAUAUUUGGCUUGUACAAGGAAACAACCAUGGUUCCAGCUUUUAGCCCCAGUAUUUUUUUUUAAUUGAAGUAUAGCUGAUAUACAACAUUGUAUUGGUUUCAGGUGUACAAAUAGUUAUUAGCUUUUUAAGACUACUAUGAGUUAAGCUCUUUAGUUGGCAUUCUGGUACAUUCUUGAGCUCAUCCUUAAGUUGAAGUGAAUGUUCAUUGUUAGUAAUUUAUGUUAUCCAGCCUGGCUUAUGUCCCAGGCUAGAAAAAUGCAUGUUUAACCUAAUGGAGACAGAGUGUGUAGGGCAAAUAUUCUCUCCUUGAAGCAACCAUUGCUGUCUGAUCCCUAGCCCUGGGGAAGAGGGUAGGGUAUGUUGGGAAGACAGGUCCUACCAUACGAGCAAAAAAAGCUGCUGUGUGUUUCUUCUGUUUUAGACUAUUAUUAUUUUUUAAAGUGUAACAAAAAGCCAUAUGUAUUAUUAAGUGCAUUGAAAAUAAAAUGUUCUUCAAUUGCAUUGUAGUGGGUCAGUUUGAAUGAUGAGGUGGUCUUUAUGACAUGUCUUGACGUUCAGCUUUACUUCACAGAGCCCAGUGCAGAAAGACAGGGACGUACCAGCCAGUGUUUUUAGUAUUCAUUGAAUUGCUCAGUGAUUUUUUUUAAGCCUCCCAUGGUACCCAAAACAUAACAACAAACCUUCUCUAACAUAAAAAUAUAGCGUAUUUCAAGAAAAACUUGGUAUAUGUAUGCUAAAAAGUUAUCUAUGGGAGGAAGGAUGACAUAUAAUUGAAUACCCUUCUGAAAUUUUCCAUAAUAAGUAUGUAUUAUUUGAUAAUAAAAAUGUUACUUAAAAGUCUAAACACUUUGUAGUUAAUGAUAAUGAUAAUAGAAAAAUAUUCUGGGGAUUUAAAGUGUUUCAAGAGUUUAUUUUCUUCUAACAUCUGAGUGAGAAAGGGAGGAAAACUAUUAUUAGGUCCCUAAAACACGUGAGGAAGCAUUGGCUGGGAAAUUCUGUAACUCUGACCUAGACAAGUAAGUGAGAGAUCAGAAGACCUGAAUCCUCUCUCUGUGCUAAUUGCCUUUAUUUAUAGAAGGCUUAUGAUAUGCCAGGCAUUGUUUUAAACUAUUUUCUUGUAAUAUCUUACUUAUUCUCCACAUCUGCUUAAAGCAGUCAUUAAUAUUCUCCUUUUACAGAAGACACAACAGGAGAGCAGAGAGCAACCCCUAAGUGGCAGAGCUGGGAUUUAAAUAGAAAAAGGUUGGCUUCAGAGCAAGAAACUGCAAAAUGGAAAAGGCACACACAAAAGAGCAGUGUAUUCAGUGUGCUUUGCAUCUGUUUUUGAGAGCAACAGGAUGAACAGAAAGACAUGCUGAGGAGAUGCAGCAACUACUGCAGCAACUGAUCCUGCCCCGCCCAUGGGCUCCAGCUGGCAGAGUUGACAGUCUGGUGCUGUUUGCAGUGCGAUGGACCAUCGCUCUUCUAAAUGCAGAACAACCGCAUUGAGAGUGCCCGAUGGUUCUCAGACAGGAGCACCACCAGUGGAGCACGCGCCCCUCCUCGCCCUUCUGCGGGCUCUCUGGAAAUGACAGCAGAUCUAUAAUAAGGAAAUCAGUUUCCCAUCCACUUUUAUCACCUUUUAUUCCUGGUUAUUCUUAAGAGUGAGGAUAUGGUACUUACUUGUUCCAGGACAAAUGAGUUUCCUGCUGCCAGAGACUGUAGGCAUGUGGACGACUGUGUGUUGUGUUUGAAGUCAGCACUACACUUGGUAGGUGACAGGAAGUCAAAGCUAAGUUAAUCCGUUCCCUGGCAGCUGCACUGCACAGCCUUGGCAUGCUUUCUACCACGGCUCAUGCUGUGCUCAGAGAGUCCAUUUUUGUUGAUUUCCUCGUUUUCGACAUCAUGGUCUUGUGUUCCUUGAGCAUGGCACUGCUGUUUGUACACAGAGGAUGACCAUGUGGAAGGUUCCGGGAAGACAUCACUGGGAGUGUGCCUGCUCUUACUUGCCUUACCAAUGGAAUGCUUUUCCUUCUUUGGUUUUAAUGAAGACUAUGUUGAAAAGCUGUUAGGCACCUGGGAAACCAGGCAUCUGCUUCACUUAGAGGCAGCUUUAAUGAUUGAUUAAUCAUUUAUUUCGAGAAGACACCAGAAGAAAGAAUUGGACUUCAAGUGAGGAAUUGUACAUCAAUUUCCUUGCAUUGGAAAUGGAUUAGUAGAUAAUGUCACUUCAUGAGAUUUUACCACAGUUUUUUCAAAAGUUCUACACACAGGUGAGUUACCAACUUGUAUAGAAGCCAUUGGAGACACCCUUGCUUACUGACUUGAAUCUCAACUCUGUGUUGAUGUGCAGAAGCUCCAGUUGGGUUCAUAUUAGUCAUAUGCUUCAUUUCUUACUACAUUACUGGGUUAAACCAUUUUGCUCCUAGCAUUCAAAUGCUGCUCAAGUAGCAGUAACUCUCCUGGCCUAUAUUAAGACAUCUCCUUGAUCCAGUAAGCCACAGGCCCCCUGUAGUCACUCAGUUUUCUUUUAGAGACAAGGGGUCAUAUUGCUGUGGGUGGGCUCUGGUGUCCUCACCCAGCCUUCCUCAGAGUAGGUGACUGCCACCACCAGUGUAAUGAUGUCGCCCCUCAUCCCCAGCUGGGCCGUCUCUGUGGCCCUGGCCUUGGGCUUGGGCUCUGAGUCUGCUGCCUGGUGAGGGUACCAAGUGCUGCCCGGGGGCCCUACCCCACGGUACAGCCUUGGACUUACCUCCACCCUCCUCAGGUGCAAACCCUGAUUCUACUAAUGCAGUGGGAGAAGCCUCCCACCCAGCCUCACUCGCAUUUAUCACACAUUUUGGAUGUCAUACGGGAGUAAGUACUGUGGGAGGGAGUGCAGGUUACAGGCCCGUUCCUGGGAACAUGCCUGCAGGAUUGGCAGUGACUCCUGCCAGGCAAAGGGGGAGUUUCAGUGGGAGACAGGAGAAAAUGGGACAAUGGCAACAGAAAGUUUCCUGGAUUCACCAGAGAGCAUUCAUGGUUCUUGGGAUCAGCGAGCAUUCCAGUGAGCCCACGGCUGAAGGAUGCUGAUGAACAUAGGAUGGUGUCCCUCUGGAAUCUGGGACCGGCACCACCGAACUUACACACUCUCACAUGUCUCUGAUGUUUUUCCUGUUUCCCUGCACGUGGCUUAUCGUGUACUUAAUUACAGGCUCAGCUAGUGCAGAAAGUCCCAUUUCUUUUCACAUGCACUAACAUGCUUGUCCUUUCUGCCCACAGUUUGCCUCGCACCUCAUCUUCUCUGGGCACACCUGGUCCUAGCAGUCAUCGGCCCUCCGCCCAAAUGCCUUGGGUGCCGCCUUGCGGGGCCUUAAGUGCAUGGCUCAGCGUUGCGCCCUCUGCUGCUCUGCCUCAAGGCGGCCGGGGAGUCAAAGCCAUGAGCCCUAUUCCCCAGGCUGGGAGUGCCCAGCCUUACUUUCUCAAAAGCAGGACAUCAACAGCUUCUCUCCCUCUCCUCCAUCCCUCCACCCUGGGUUUUUCCCCCUGAAAUUGUAUUCUUGGGUGGCUCUUUUCCCUUCCUUCACCCCUUAGUAAAUCAUAGUGCCUGUGAAUUUCUACUUCUAGGGAACCUGCCUAAGACAGGUUGUUAGCCCACCUAUAAAGGAAAAAAUGGACACUUCAAAGUAAAAUAUACUGUUCCUCCUAUUUCUGUCUUUUCUGCUAAUUCAAGGUAUUAACCACAGCAUUUGAAUCUCCAAAUUUUGAGCAUAAGUGAUUCAUGUCUGGGUUUAUUCAUUUAGAAUCAACUAGUAUCUGUUACAGAAAAGGACUCUGGACCCUAGAGGAGGCAGGAGUCGGGGUGAUAGAGCUCUGCCCUCUCUCUGCUGAUAUAGCACCACUGUCUCCUCCUCUGGCCAUUGGAGGAGACUUAUUCCAUAGGGUCUUGAAGGAUUUCAGCAUCUCGGGAAACCUCUGAUACGUGGCCCUGGAGUUUUAGAAGUAAAUUAUUAAGUAGGACACCUUGAACUUUUGAGUCCAAGGGGGACGGAUCCUUUUGGGUGGUGGGGAUACAGGACUGCUGUACCAAAUGUGUGUUUUGUGACCAGGCAGCGAGCUGUGGUGAAAUACCCAAGGCCUCAUGUCCCUACUUCCCUCAGUCUUUCUGGGGCUCCACUCUGGGGGGCUUUGCUUUCCUCCUCCAUGACCCUGCUGCGCCUUUCGGUCUGCAUCAGUGCGUAUCACAGCCCACUUGGCAAUGCUGGUGGCCUUUACCCUACUAUGAGGCUGCUGCUCCCUUGGGGGAAGGAACCUUGUUUUCAUAGUCUUCUUAUGCUGUUACCCAGCAUGAAUGAGGCCCUCGAAAUAUCAUGUCUGUUAUCACAUGGGUGGAGCUGGCAUUUUUACUGAGUUAGAUCUGAAUACUUAAAUCCCUUACAUAGUCAUUACAUCCUGCCCCCCUGACUUUGGGUGAGAAAUGAAGCUGUAGGUAAGAUGACUCCAUUUCACAAGCAGGGUUUUUGUGAACAGAAAGCUUUGUUCUGAAGCACUUGGGGAGGGCUGAAACUUUUGAAAGAAAUGCUUUAACUCAAAGAAAAUUAUCACAGAAGAUGGAAAGAGGAUACAUAGAAAGAACAAAUGAUUAAAUAUGUAUUAUAUAUUACCUGUUUAUAUAUUGAAAUUCACUUAAACACUAAAAAUUCGUGAAGAGAGAAGGAAAAUACUGAAUAUUGAUACUAGAUAACUAAAGUCACAUUGGAGUUAAUCCAAGAAGCAAUGAGAAAUUCAAGACUAAGGAACGUCCGGAUCAUUAAAAACCCUCACAUCAAAUCACACAAACCACUAGUGGUACUUGGGAACAGGUUUCUCUUCUACCUCACAGAGGUUGGUGAGAGAAUACAUGUUGUUUCCUUGCUCUGCUUUUUAGAGUUCCCUGCAGAAUGACAGAGAGGUAUCAGCCAUAUUUUUCUCAGUCUUCAUUACAUUUCUUGUUCUGAGCUUCAGUGAAGUGAUUUUUCCAAUCUCCCACAGCUCCUGAGAAAAGUAAUGUAUAGCAUAUUCAAUGACAUUUUCAUGAAACAUGACUAUUUUGCACUCAGAUAAUCCCUCUCCUCUGAAUACUUAAAUCCCUUACAUAGAAAUUACAUCCUGUCCCCCUGACUUUGGGUGAGAAAUGAAGCUGUAGGUAAGAUGACUCCAUUUCACAGGCAGGGCUUUUGUAAACAGAAAGCUUUGUUCUGAAGCACUUGGGUGAGGGCUGAAAUCUAGACCUCGGCUUCUGUGAUUCUCUGGAUCACACUCUUGAGCUCUCUGAUUUACCAGUAUUUUCUGAACCUUCAGUACAUGUAACAUUCUGUUUAAGUUAACUGGAUUGAAUUUUCCUAACGUCUCUUUAGAGGUCCUUGUAGGGCUGAUGGGAGUGGCUGUAUCUUCAGAGCAUUAUCUGCUUCUCCUAUUUUUGUCUCUAGUUCAGGCAAAACUCCUAGCUGAACAUAGCUGAGAAAGCUCCUUUCCAAUUUAAAUUAUUGCUGUUACAUAUAAUUAAAGAAAUAGAAUAUGAAGGAACAGUAGGGUUGUUUGACUUUGUUUCAUGCUUACACAAUACAGUAUUCAAAUAUUUUUUUAGCUUCAAUAAAUAAAAGUGGUCAGAGACUCCAUAGAAAGCUAUUUUUCUUCUAAUUGGUCAAUGUUUUUGAUUCACUUAGACUCUUUAAGAUGUGUGAUGUAAUUUUCAUGUGUGAAAUGUAAAUUUUCUUA